UACGUAGGCAGCAAGCGUUGUUCGGAAUUACUGGGCGUAAAGCGUGCGCAGGCGGUGAGCUGUGUCCGAUGUGAAAGCCCCGGGCUUAACCUGGGAAUGGCAUUGGAAACUGGCUCGCUGGAGUGUGGCAGAGGGGGGUGGAAUUCCGCGUGUAGCAGUGAAAUGCGUAGAGAUCGGGAGGAACAUCUGUGGCGAAGGCGGCCAUCUGGACCAGCACUGACACUGAGGCACGAAAGCGUGGGGAGCAAACAGG
rnacentral:rRNA from 1 species